rnacentral:misc_RNA from 1 species
AAGAAAUUAAUGGGAGCUGAUGCUGGUGUUAACUCACAUGUGCUCGCUCUCUUAAUCCAUUCACACCUGUGCACUUUUUUAUUUUGAAGAAGGCGAGGAUGUUUCUUAACGAGAUAGACUCUCUUCUUUGAAAAUCAUUAACAAACUCCUUGAUAAAAUUAAGAAUGUUUAUCUGCCGCAAGGCAAAAAUAAAAUA